rnacentral:rRNA from 1 species
AUUGAACGCUGGCGGCAGGCCUAACACAUGCAAGUCGAGCGGAUGAAGGCAGCUUGCUCCUGGUUUUCGCGGCGGACGGGUGUGUAUUGCCUAGGAAUCUGCUUGGCUGUGGGGGAUAAUGUCUGGAAACGGGUGCUACUACUGCCUACGUCCUGCGGGUGCAGGUGGGGGGUGUUUGGACCUUAUGGUCUCAGAUGAGUCUAGGUCGGAUUAGCUAGUUGGUGGGGUAAAGGCCUACCAAGGCGAGCAUCCGUAACUGGUCUGAGAGGAUGAUCAGUCGCACGAGAGCGUGGACAGGGUCCAGACGCCUACGAGAGGCAGCAGUGGGGAAUAUUGGACAAUGGGGGAAAGCCUGGUCCAGCCAUGCCGCGUGUGAUAAGAAAGUCUUCGGAUUGGGAAGCACUUUAAGUUGGGAGGAAGGGCAGUAGGUUAAGACCUUGCUGGUUUGACGGUACUAACAGAAGAAGCACCGGCUAACUUCGUG